rnacentral:rRNA from 1 species
CCUACGGGUGGCAGCAGUGAGGAAUAUUGGUCAAUGGUCGGGAGACUGAACCAGCCAAGCCGCGUGAGGGAUGAAGGUACAGAGUAUCGUAAACCUCUUUUGUCAGGGAACAAAGGCGGGGACGCGUCCCCGGAUGAGUGUACCUGAAGAAAAAGCAUCGGCUAACUCCGUGCCAGCAGCCGCGGUAAUACGGAGGAUGCGAGCGUUAUCCGGAUUUAUUGGGUUAAAGGGGGGCGCAGGCGGUCUGUUAAGUCAGCGGUAAAAGCCCGGGGCUCAACCCCGGCCCGCCGUUGAAACUGGCAGUCUCGAGUUGGAGAGAAGUAUGCGGAAUGCGCGGUGUAGCGGUGAAAUGCAUGGAUAUCGCGAAGAACUCCGAUUGCGAAGGCAGCAUGCCGGCUCCACACUGACGCUGAGGCACGAAAGCGUGGGUAUCGAACAGGAUUAGAUACCCCAGUAGUC